UUUGGUCGGUUUUAGGGUAAAUUUUGUACAAGAUGUCAUGUAUGGUUACCUAACUUGGAAAAUUUCUAUGAACGUAAUUUUUUAAGAAUGGAUUGGGUAGCUAAAAGUUAUUUUGGACGUGCCAAGAAAGAGGUAGUUAUAGAGGAGGUUUUGCGUGUCCUUUGUUUUCGAAUCGCGUUUGGUUGGUUCAAGGGCAAAUUCUGUACAAGAUGUCAUAUAUGGGUACCUAACUUGGAAAAAUUCUGUGAACGACAUUUUUUAAGCAUGGAUUGGGUAGCAAAAAGUUAUGUUGGACGAGCCACUAAAGAGUUAGUUAUCGAGGAGUUUUUGCGUGUCCUUUGUUUUCGAGUCACGUUUGAUCGGUUUUAGGGCAAAUUCUAUACAACAUGUCAUAUAUGGGUACUUAACUUUGGAAAAAUUCUGUGAAUGGAAUUUUUUAAGCAUGGAUUGGGUAGAAAAAAUUUAUUUUGGAAGAGCCACAAAAGAGGUAGUUAUCGAGGAGUUUUUGCAUGUCAAUUGUUUUUGAGUCGCGUUUGGUCGGUUUUAGGGCAAAUUCCGUACAAGAUGUCAUAUAUGGGUACCUAACUUGGAAAAAUUCUAUGACCGUCUUUUUAAGCAUGGAUAGGGUAGCCAAAAGUUAUUUUGGACGAGCCACGAAAGAGGUAUUUAUCGAGGAGUUUUUGCGUGUCUUUUGUUGUCGAGUCGCGUUUGGUCGGUUUUAGGGUAAAUUCUGUACAAGAUGUCAUGUAUGGUUACCUAACUUGGAAACUUUCUAUGAACGGAAUUUUUUAAGAAUGGAUUGGGUAUCUAAAAGUUAUUUUGUACGAGCCAAGGAAGAGGUAGUUAUAGAGGAGGUUCUGCGUGUCCAUUGUUUUCGAGUCGCGUUUGGUUGGUUCAAGGGCAAAUUUUGUACAAGAUGUCAUAUAUGGGUACCUAACUUGGAAAAAUUCUGUGAAUGACAUUUUUUAAGCAUUGAUUGGGUAGCCAAAACUUAUGUUGGACGAGCCACUAAAGAGGUAGUUAUCGAGGAGUUUUUGCGUGUCCUUUGUUUUUGAGUCGCGUUUGGUCGAUUUUAGGGCAAAUUCUGUACAAGAUGUCAUAUAUGGGUACCUAACUUGGAAAAAUUCUAUGACCGGCUUUUUAUGCAUGGAUUGGGUAGCCAAAAGUUAUUUUGGACGAGCCAAGAAAGAGGUAGUUAUCGAGUAGUUUUUGCCUGUCCUUUGUUUUCGGGUCGCGUUUGGUAGGUUUUAAGACAAAUAUUGUACAAGACGUCAUAUAUGGGUACCUAACGUGGAAAAAUUAUGUAAACGACAUUUUCUAAGCAUGGAUUGGGUAGCAAUAAGUUAUUUUGGACGAGCCAAGAAAGAGGUAGUUAUCGUGGAGUUUUUGCAUGUCCUUUAUUUUUGAGUCGCGUUUGGUCGGUUUUAGGGCAAAUUCUGUACAAUAUGUAAUAUAUGGGUACCUAACUUGGAAAAAUUAUGUGAAUGGAAUUUUUUAAGCAUGGAUUGGGUUAUAAAAUGUUAUAUUGGACGAGCCACGAAAGAGUUAGUUAUCGAGGAUUUUUUGCGUGUCCUUUGUUUUUGAGUCGCAUUUGGUAGGUUUAAGGGCAAAUUAUGCACAAGAUGUCAUAUAUGGGUGCCUAACUUGGAAAAACUAUGUAAAGGGCAUUUUUAAGCAUGUAUUGGGUAGCAAAAAGUUAUUUUGGACGAGCCAUAAAAGAGGUAUUUAUCGAGGAGUUUUUGCGUGUCCUUUGUUUUCAAGUCGCAUUUGGUCCGUGUUUGGGCAAAUUCUGGACAAGCUGUCAUAUAUGGGUACCUCACUUGGAAAAAUUCUGUGACCAGCAUUUUUUAAGCAUGGAUUAGGUAGCAAUAAGUUAUUUUGGAUGAGCCAAGAAAGAGGUAGUUAUCGAGUAGUUUUUCCGUGUCCUUUGUUUUGAGUCGCGUUUGGUCGGUUUUAGGGCAAAUUCUGUACAAGACGUCAUAUAUGGGUACCUAACAUGGAAAAAUUCCGUGAACGAAAUUUUUUAAGCAUGGAUUAGGUAGCAAAAAGUUAUUUUGGACGAGCCACGAAAGAGGUAAUUAUCGAGGAGUUUCUGCGUGUCCUUUGUUUUUGAGUCGCGUUUGGUCGGUUUUAGGGUAAAUUCUGUACAAGAUGUCAUAUAUGGGUACCUAACUUGGAAAUAUUCUAUGAACGACAUUUUUAAGCAUGGAUUGGGUAGCAAAAAGUUAUUUUGGGCAAGCCAACAAAGAGGUAAUUAUCGAGGAGUUUCUGCGUGUCCUUUCUUUCCGAGUCGUGUUUGGUCGGUUUUAGGGCAAAUUCUGUAACAGAUGUCAUAUGUGGUACCUACCUUGGAAAUUUUCUGCGAACGGCAUUCUUUUAAGCAUGUACUUGGUAGCAAAAUUUAUUUUGGACGAGCCACAAAAGAGGUAGUUAUCAAGGAGUUUCUGCGUGUCCUUUUUUUCGAGUCGCGCUUGGUCGGUUUCUCGGAAAUUCUAUAACAGAUGCCAUAUAUGGUACCUAACUUGGAAAAUUUCUGUGAACGGUAUUUUUAAGCAUGGAUUGGGCAGCAAAAAGUUAUUUUGGACGUCCCACGAAAGAGGUAUUUAUCGAGGAGUUUUUGCGUGUCCUUUGUUUUCGAGUCUCGUUUGGUCGGUUUUAGGGUAAAUUUUGUACAAGAUGUCAUGUAUGGUUACCUAACUUGGAAAAUUUCUAUGAACGUAAUUUUUUAAGAAUGGAUUGGGUAGCUAAAAGUUAUUUUGGACAUGCCAAGAAAGAGGUAGUUAUAGAGGAGGUUUUGCGUGUCCUUUGUUUUCGAAUCGCGUUUGGUUGGUUCAAGGGCAAAUUCUGUACAAGAUGUCAUAUAUGGGUACCUAACUUGGAAAAAUUCUGUGAACGACAUUUUUUAAGCAUGGAUUGGGUAGCAAAAAGUUAUGUUGGACGAGCCACUAAAGAGUUAGUUAUCGAGGAGUUUUUGCGUGUCCUUUGUUUUCGAGUCACGUUUGAUCGGUUUUAGGGCAAAUUCUAUACAACAUGUCAUAUAUGGGUACUUAACUUUGGAAAAAUUCUGUGAAUGGCAUUUUUUAAGCAUGGAUUGGGUAGAAAAAAUUUAUUUUGGAAGAGCCACAAAAGAGGUAGUUAUCGAGGAGUUUUUGCAUGUCAAUUGUUUUUGAGUCGCGUUUGGUCGGUUUUAGGGCAAAUUCCGUACAAGAUGUCAUAUAUGGGUACCUAACUUGGAAAAAUUCUAUGACCGUCUUUUUAAGCAUGGAUAGGGUAGCCAAAAGUUAUUUUGGACGAGCCACGAAAGAGGUAUUUAUCAAGGAGUUUUUGCGUGUCUUUUGUUGUCGAGUCGCGUUUGGUCGGUUUUAGGGUAAAUUCUGUACAAGAUGUCAUGUAUGGUUACCUAACUUGGAAACUUUCUAUGAACGGAAUUUUUUAAGAAUGGAUUGGGUAUCUAAAAGUUAUUUUGUACGAGCCAAGGAAGAGGUAGUUAUAGAGGAGGUUCUGCGUGUCCAUUGUUUUCGAGUCGCGUUUGGUUGGUUCAAGGGCAAAUUUUGUACAAGAUGUCAUAUAUGGGUACCUAACUUGGAAAAAUUCUGUGAAUGACAUUUUUUAAGCAUUGAUUGGGUAGCCAAAACUUAUGUUGGACGAGCCACUAAAGAGGUAGUUAUCGAGGAGUUUUUGCGUGUCCUUUGUUUUCGAGUCGCGUUUGGUCGAUUUUAGGGCAAAUUCUGUACAAGAUGUCAUAUAUGGGUACCUAACUUGGAAAAAUUCUAUGACCGGCUUUUUAUGCAUGGAUUGGGUAGCCAAAAGUUAUUUUGGACGAGCCAUGAAAGAGGUAGUUAUCAAGGAGUUUUUGCGUGUCCUUUGUUUCGAGUCGCGUUUGGUCGGUUUUAGGGCAAAUAUUGUACAACAUGUCAUAUAUGGGUACCUAACUUGCAAACAUUCGGUGAACGACAUUUUAUAAGGAUGGAUUGGGUAGCAAAAAUUUAUGUGGAACAAGCCACGAUAGAGGUAGUUACUGAAGAGUUUUUGCAUGUCCUUUGUUUUUGAGUCGUGUUUGGUUGGUUUUAGGGCAAAUUCUGUACAAGAUGUAAUAUAUGGGUACCUAACUUGGAACAAUUAUGUGAACGACAUUUUUAAGCACGGAUUGGGUUAUAAAACGUUAUGUUGGACGAGCCACGAAAGAGUUAGUUAUCGAGGAGUUUUUGCGUGUCCUUUGUUUGGAUUGGGUAGCAAUAAGUUAUUUUGGGCAAGCCACCAAAGAGGUAAUUAUUGAGGAGUUUCUGAAUGUCGCGUGGUUGGUUUUAGGGAUAAUUCCGUAACAGAUGUCAUAUAUGGUACCUACCUUGGACAUUUUCUGCGAACGGCAUUCUUUUAAGCAUGGACAUGGUAGCUAAAUCUAUUUUGGACGAGCCCCAAAAGAGGUAGUUAUCGAGGAGUUUCUGCGUGUCCUUUGUUUUUGAGUCGCGUUUGGUCGGUUUUAGGGCAAAUUCUAUAACAGAUGCCAUAUAUGGUACCUAACUAGGAAAAUUUCUGUGAACGGCGUUUUUUAAGAAUGGAUUGGACAGCAAAAAGUUAUUUUGGACGAGCCACGAAAGAGGUAUUUAUCGAGGAGUUUUUGCGUGUCCUUUGUUUUCGAGUUGCAUUUGGUCGGUUUUAGGGUAAAUUAUGUACAAGAGGUCAUCUAUGGUUACCUACUUGGAAAAUUUCUAUGAACAGAGUUUUUUAUGAAUGGAUUGGGUAGCUAAAAGUUAUUUUGGACGAGCCAAGAAAGAGGUAGUUAUAGAGGAGGUUCUGCGUGUCCUUUGUUUUCGAGUCGCGUUUGGUUUGUUCAAGGGCAAAUUCUGUACUUGAUGUCAUAUAUGGGUACCUAACUUAGAAAAAUUCUGUGAACGACAUUUUUAAGCAUGGACUGGGUAGCAAAAAGUUAUGUUGGACGAGCCACUAAAGAGGUAGUUAUCGAGGAGUUUUUGCGUGUCCUUUGUUUUUGAGUCGCGUUUGGUCGGUUUUAGGGCAUAUUCUGUACAACAUGUCAUAUAUGGGUACCUAACUUUGGAAAAAUUCUGUGAAUGGCAUCUUUUAAGCAUGGAUUGGGUAGCAAAAAGUUAUUUUGGAAGAGCCACGAAAGAGGUAGUUAUCGAGGAGUUUUUGCAUGUCAUUUGCUUUCGAGUCGCGUUUGGUCGGUUUUAGGGAAAAUUCUGUACAACAUGUCAUAUAUGGGUUGGGUUAUAAAAAGUUAUGUUGGACGAGCCACGAAAGAGUUAGUUAUCGCGGAGUGUUUGCGUGUCCUUUGUUUUUGAGUCGCAUUUGGUAGGUUUAAGGGCAAAUUAUGCACAAGAUGUCAUAUAUGGGUACCUAACUUGGAAAAAUUAUGUAAACGGCAUUUUUAAGCAUGGAUUGGGUAGCAAAAAGUUAUUUUGGACGAGCCAUAAAAGAGAUAUUUAUCCAGGAGUUUUUGCGUGUCCUUUGUUUUCGAGUCACAUUUGGUUGGUUUUAGGGCAAAUUCUGGACAAGCUGUCAUAUAUGGGUACCUAACUUGGAAAAAUUAUGUGACCAGCAUUUUUUAAGCAUGGAUUAGGUAGCAAUAAGUUAUUUUGGAUGAGCCAAGAAAGAGGUAGUUAUCGAGUAUUUUUUCCGUGUCCUUUGUUUUUGAGUCGCGUUUGGUCGGUUUUAGGGCAAAUUCUGUACAAGACGUCAUAUAUGGAUACCUAACAUGGAAAAAUUCUGUGAACGAAAUUUUUUAAGCAUUGAUUGGGUAGCAAAAAGUUAUUUUGGACAAGCCACGAAAGAGGUAGUUAUGGAGGAAUUUUUGCGUGUCCUUUGUUUUUGAGUCGCGUUUCGUCGGUUUUAGGGUAAAUUCUGUACAAGAUGUCAUAUAUGGGUACCAAACUUGGAAAUAUUCUGUGGACGACAUUUUUAAGCAUGGAUUGGGUAGCAAAAAGUUAUUUUGGGCAAGCCGCCAAAGAGGUAAUUAUCGAGGAGUUUCUGCGUGUCCUUUCCUUCAGAGUCGUGUUUGGUCGGUUUUAGGGCCAAUUCUAUAACAGAUGUCAUAAUGGUACCUACCUUGGAAAUUUUCUGUGAACGGCAUUUUUUAAGCAUGGAUUUGGUAGCAAAAUUUAUUUUGGACGAGCCACAAAAGAGGUAGUUAUCGAGGACUUUCUACGUGUCCUUUGUUUUCGAGUCGCGUUUGGUCGGUUUUAGGGCAAAUUCUAUAACAGAUGCCAUAUAUGGUAGCUAACUUGGAAAAUUUCUGUGAACGACAUUUUUUAAGCAUGGAUUGGGCAGCAAAAAGUUAUUUUGGACGUGCCACGAAAGAGGUAUUUAUCGAGGAGUUUUUGCGUGUCCUUUGUUUUCGAGUCGCGUUUGGUCGGUUUUAGGGUAAAUUCUAUACAAGAUGUCAUGUAUGGUUACCUUACUUGGAAAAUUUCUAUGAACGGAAUUUUUUAAGAAUGGAUUGGGUAGCUAAAGUUAUUUUGGACGAGCCAAGAAAGAGGUAGUUAUAGAGGAGGUUUUGCGUGUCCUUUGUUUUCGAGUCGCGUUUGGUUGGUUCAAGGGCAAAUUCUGUACAAGAUGUCAUAUAUGGGUACCUAACUUGGAAAAAUUCCGUGAACGACAUUUGUUAAGCAUGGAUUGGGUAGCAAAAAGUAAUGUUGGACGAGC
rnacentral:lncRNA from 1 species